GAGCUUACCUCCCGGACCCCAAGGCUUUUCUGUUUCAACUGAAGUACAACGGAAAAUCGUCGUAUAACCAGUUCCCGAUAAAACCUGAAAGAAUUGCAUAUGCAGUACAAUGUAAUUCGGGUUAUGGCCCAAUAUUCGGAGGUGGUCUUGAUCUUUCUACAUUUUCAGGAAAUUUGACGGCUAGUAACGGAGUAUUUACCUUAAAUGGUAGCUGUACCCUCAAUAAUACCUACAACAUGAAAGGAACAGACUACAAUGCGUUUGCCAAUGGGAACUUGCAAGUAAAAGAAAUGGAGGUUUACCAAGUGGAUGAUUGCGACAUGAACGAUCCUUUAGAAAUUCCAUGGAGAAGAACCCCGGAAUGGACAACAAGGCUGAUGCAAGAGCUGAAAGAGGAAAUAGAAAACUACAAGCCCCUGGAACAGCUCAAGAUCCAGCAGACGAAGAUCCUGUUGAUUGGUCAGAUCGGGGCGGGAAAGUCCAGCUUCUUUAACACGAUCAACUCCAUCUUCCGGGGAUACGUCACAAGUCAGGCGUGCAGCGGUACAGCUGAACACAGUCUGACCACACAGUAUCGGUCGUACCAGGUUAGGAAUGGUCCCUCUGGCAAACCUCUUAACUUCCGGUUGUGUGACACACGUGGUCUAGAGGAGGGGCAGGGAAUUGAAGCCCAGGAUGUGUGUUAUAUCUUGGAUGGCAAUACCCCAGACAAAUACGUGGUUAGUUGUUACAGGAAUAAGUCACGUAAAAACUUGAUAAAUAUAUACUAACAAAUAUGUUUAAACAUAUGAAUUUCACUGUUGUAAAUAAACAUGUAAUUAAUAUAUAUUACCUCAACUGAAGACAAUGUCAAAAUAUAGCUGAAAUAUUUACCCAGCAGAAAUGACUAUCCACAUGUAUAAUACGACUUUUUCAUUUGAUGAAAGCAUUUAGCAACGAGUCCGAUUUAGGCAGUAGGGGGCCAAAUUUAAUUUCGUUCUAAAAUUGCAGGUUGAUAUCCUGCAUGAAUACUUCUAAACCUUUUCCAAGAUCUGUUUUUAAGACUUGAUUUACAUAUAUAAUAAAUAUCGCAUAUUAUAUGUAAUAAGAGCAAUCUUGUAGUAAACUAAAUAAAUAGUUGCAUAGCUUCGUAAGCUUUGCUUAAUAUCAAGAUAUUCUUAAGGGUCGUCCUCUUGGGUGUCCUCUUAAUAUAAUGUCGUUGUUUAAUGUUCAGUGACAAUGGUGACGUUAUACUUAAAACCUGCAGCUUUGUAUAAUAUUUCAAUAUAUGAUUAAUUUGGGUUAUGCAUUAAUAAUAUCUGAUUUCUAUCAGAAAACAGCAGAUUAAAGAUUCGUGUUCAUGUUGUUUUUUUAUUCAGUUCAAUCCCUCGCUUCCACUGAGCUCAGAUAUCGCAGGAUUCGUCAAGGCUCCCAAACUGAAGGACCGAAUUCACUGUGUGGCCUUCGUUCUGGACGCUUCCUCUGUUGACGUCAUGUCAGAGAAGAUGCUGGAGAAAAUCAGAAAGCUCCAGAUAGCGAUGAACCAAAGAGGUCUUCCUCAAGUUGUUUUACUGACUAAGAUUGAUAAGAUAUGCGCGUCUUUGCAAGAUGACGUAGGACUGACGUACUACAUUCCCACAGUCCAAGAGCACGUGGAUAAAGUGGCGGCGAUGAUUGGUCUUCCUAGAUCACACGUGAUCCCCGUCAAGAACUACGAGAGCGAGCGAGAACUCAACGACAACAUCAACAUACUGAAUCUGUUGGCCAUGCAGCAGAUUCUGCACUUUGCAGACGACUUCCUGUACAAUUACCUUGACGACCUGGACGACGAACAAAUAAGCACUGCCGACUAGGUGGAACAAGUUCUGACGUCAUCAUCGUUGAUACAAAGGGUGUAGCACACACGUAAAAGGAUUAUUAUGUCUACACCAGCUUCUUAUUAGUUCGUUUCGCUCUGUGAUUCAUAGAUAUAUAUAUUUUGAUACACUCUUACUCAAGACUGCAUGAAACAUAAUUUAGAAGGUUUCAUCUUUCAAAUAGUUGGCUUGGAUCCGUGAUCAUGACCAAUCAAAACGUUCAGGUGUCUGGAAAGCCUUUCUUGCCUAAAAUGGUGUUUUAUUUUAUAUAAUAUCAUGGAUACACGAUAUUGUUGGGUACUAGUAUAACAGGCUUAUAAGCCACGUUUGUGUUCAACGUUUAAAUGAAUCCCUCGAAUCAAACUGAAAAUAGAUAAAUACUAUAUAUUAAUGAAAUAUCAAAUCAAUACUAUUUUGCCUGUACAUAUGCUGUAUAAUAAUCUUAUAUGCUUUUCUGUAUGCACAAAAUGUGUUUGUCUUAUUAACAUUGAAUUAUCAGAUGCUACACGUCAAAUAAACUACGUGUACAUGCCUUUG
rnacentral:misc_RNA from 1 species